rnacentral:rRNA from 1 species
UGGGGAAUUUUGGACAAUGGGCGAAAGCCUGAUCCAGCAAUGCCGCGUGUGUGAAGAAGGCCUUCGGGUUGUAAAGCACUUUUGUCCGGAAAGAAAUCCUUGGCUCUAAUACAGUCGGGGGAUGACGGUACCGGAAGAAUAAGCACCGGCUAACUACGUGCCAGCAGCCGCGGUAAUACGUAGGGUGCAAGCGUUAAUCGGAAUUACUGGGCGUAAAGCGUGCGCGGGCGGUUUGCUAAGACCGAUGUGAAAUCCCCGGGCUCAGCCUGGGAACUGCAUUGGUGACUGGCAGGCUAGAGUAUGGCAGAGGGGGGUAGAAUUCCACGUGUAGCAGUGAAAUGCGUAGAGAUGUGGAGGAAUACCGAUGGCGAAGGCAGCCCCCUGGGCCAAUACUGACGCUCAUGCACGAAAGCGUGGGGAGCAAACAGGAUUAGAUACCCUGGUAGUCCACGCCCUAAACGAUGUCAACUAGUUGUUGGGGAUUCAUUUCCUUAGUAACGUAGCUAACGCGUGAAGUUGACCGCCUGGGGAGUACGGUCGCAAGAUUAAAACUCAAAUGAAUUGACGGGGU